rnacentral:rRNA from 1 species
UACGUAGGGCGCAAGCGUUGUCCGGAAUUAUUGGGCGUAAAGGGCGCGUAGGCGAUUGUGCAAGUCUUUUGUGAAAGCCCCCGGCUUAACCGGGGAAGUGCAGAAGAUACUGCACAAUUUGAGUUCCGGAGAGGAAGGCAGAAUUCCCGGUGUAGCGGUGAAAUGCGUAGAGAUCGGGAGGAAUACCAGUGGCGAAGGUGGCCUUCUGGACGGAUACUGACGCUGAGGCGCGAAAGCCAGGGGAGCAAACGGG